GGGGACUUGGUGUAGCCCGGUGGCACAGCAGGCUCCAGACCUGUCGGUCGAGGGUUCAAAUCCCUCAGUCCCCA
rnacentral:tRNA from 1 species